GUGAGGAAUUUUCCGCAAUGGGCGAAAGCCUGACGGAGCAAUGCCGCGUGAAGGAUGAAGGCCUAUGGGUUGUAAACUUCUUUUCUCAGAGAAGAAAUUUUGACGGUAUCUGAGGAAUAAGCAUCGGCUAACUCUGUGCCAGCAGCCGCGGUAAGACAGAGGAUGCAAGCGUUAUCCGGAAUGAUUGGGCGUAAAGCGUCUGUAGGUGGCUUGAAAAGUCUCCUGUCAAAGAUCAGGGCUUAACCCUGGGCCGGCAGGAGAAACUCUUAGGCUAGAGUUUGGUAGGGGCAGAGGGAAUUCCCGGUGGAGCGGUGAAAUGCGUAGAGAUCGGGAGGAACACCAAAGGCGAAAGCACUCUGCUGGGCCAUUACUGACACUGAGAGACGAAAGCGAGGGGAGCAAAUGGGAUUAGAAACCCCUGUAGUCC
rnacentral:rRNA from 1 species